CCAGCACCUCCCUGCCCCCUCCCGUAUCAAUAGCAAUGAUGAAGGACUCACGCAGCCAUCUUUUCAGGAGCAUGUGACAGCCUGCAUGACCGGAGCCAAUGGUGAAUGUUUAAAUUCUGGGUCCCGAAGCAAUAUCUUGGGAAGGGCCUUCCUCUGUCCCACAGCUUCUAAAAAUGUUCUGUGCUUAUAGUAUUGGCUCAGUUUUGUGGAUGUGUUUCUGGGAUUAUUCAGUGACCUCAGACAGGCUGCUCCAAGUCUCCCUGGACCACCUGCGUAGUUCAGCCAUAUUCUACAGUGAGCACUUAGAACAGGACAUGCAGGGGCUACACAGGCAUCAAGGCUGGCUGAUUCCACAGAGCAAGAAUGUCAACAAGGAUCCAGCUUAUUUUUGCCUCUUCACCCCACCAUCUUUUAUGUCAGCCUCGUCCUCAGGGAAGUAGGAUGCAACAGUUCCAGCUGGACACGACAAUACUCACAGGAAGACGAAAGAGACUCUUAUUGCUGCUGUAUCGUGGGAACCUUGUCCCCGAUGCCCAUCAGGGUCAACUAUUUACAUGGGAAGGAAAAACAUACCCCGCAACUACAACCUGAUGUCAGUACCAAGAGCAGUAUGCAAACGACUAUUACGGGCGCUCAGAAGCAUCACAAUGGAAGGGAAGUUGCAGCUGCCUAUACCCACACCCACAUCUUGUCUACCUGCCUGCUGCGUCACAGCCUGGCUGCAUUACUGGGCUCACUUCAGUUCCAAGAAAGCUUCCAGAAAUCAUGGCAGGCACACCUGCAGUGAGCAGAUCUGUGUCUACUUGUCCUUUAAGUGGACACCACUUUUCUGUUCAGAGCACAGAUCAAUGUGUCAGACAGAGCUCUUGGAUGACAAUAUUGUCCUGGCAGGGAUCCAGAGCGGCUGGGGAUAGAGAAUAUUAAAUGGGUCUGGUGCAGAACAGUUGAGGUGUGACUGGAUGUGACAGAGGACAGCACCUCUUUGACAAUGACAUUAUGUGAGUUUGGGUGGGCUCUCAGCUCAGGUUUCAGAUGGCCAGGCAUCUGUUGCUGGCCGCCAUUCUG
rnacentral:lncRNA from 1 species